AAUAGAUACCCCGGUAGUCCACGCCGUAAACGAUGAGUGCUAAGUGUUAGAGGGUUUCCGCCCUUUAGUGCUGCAGCUAACGCAUUAAGCACUCCGCCUGGGGAGUACGGCCGCAAGGCUGAAACUCAAAGGAAUUGACGGGGGCCCGCACAAGCGGUGGAGCAUGUGGUUUAAUUCGAAGCAACGCGAAGAACCUUACCAGGUCUUGACAUCCUCUGACAACCCUAGAGAUAGGGCUUUCCCCUUCGGGGGACAGAGUGACAGGUGGUGCAUGGUUGUCGUCAGCUCGUGUCGUGAGAUGUUGGGUUAAGUCCCGCAACGAGCGCAACCCUUGAUCUUAGUUGCCAGCAUUCAGUUGGGCACUCUAAGGUGACUGCCGGUGACAAUCCGGAGGAAGGUGGGGAUGACGUCAAAUCAUCAUGCCCCUUAUGACCUGGGCUACACACGUGCUACAAUGGAUGGUACAAAGGGCUGCAAACCUGCGAAGGUAAGCGAAUCCCAUAAAGCCAUUCUCAGUUCGGAUUGC
rnacentral:rRNA from 1 species